rnacentral:lncRNA from 12 species
AACUUUGGGUUCCUGGAUGAGACACAGCCUCUCUGGAGCCGGAAUCAUGCCAACCUUCAAGGACCUGCUACUGACCCUCUUCCGAGGGAAGCAGGCCCCUGAGGUGGCCUGUGAUAGGGCAGGUGCACCCGCCGGGCCAUCUUCGGCUGCCUCGCUCGGGAGGCCAUGGGGCGGGGGGGGGCUGCCCUUAUAGCCCUCGGACUUGGCAGCCCCUCCUGGUUGCCUGGAGGCCCCUCUAGGAGUGGAGGCCUCUUCGGUCCCCUCCUCAUCCUCAUCUUCCUCGUCUUCAUCAUCCUCCUCAGGCAUCACCUCUGGGCUUUCCAACUCAGCCUCAUGCUGAGGGGGCUCAUCUUCAAACAGAUUGGAAGUGAUUUCUAUCCACAGCAAACAGUAUUUCAGUGCCAGCAUUAAAUCUACACAUAAUGAGCCUUUCUUUGUGUUCACAUUUGUCCAGAAGGCUGUGGCCCAGGAAGACAUUUUAUCUAAACAAGCUCCAGAGGGCAUUGAGAGUUGCAGGUAUAUCAAUAUGGAUGAAUAAUUUCAGGAGAUUUCAUGUUUCCACUUACAUGUUCAACUCCCCUUAGCAACUUAAUUACAUGAUAAACGUAAAAUGCUACAGGAAACAAAUCUCUGUAUCUCCUGUCUUCCCAAGCUCAUAAGCUCAAAAAAUACUUUAUUUACAUUUCUUUAGUGCAUCAAACAGUAAACUGGUUUAUCUCUAGAAAGCACAAUAUUAAAAUUAGGAAAACAACAUACUUCAGCUAAGAACUUCUGGUUAAUCAAGACUCCCUUUGAGUUUUAACAAACGCUAUGCAAUUUAAACUACUCAAAAAUAUUCUGCUGAGAUGUUUGCUAGAAAAACAAGCACUGAGCCUCUUGAUCCCAAACUUCGCUGUUUACCAAAGACCAUCAGUUUAUAGAACAUUUGUACUCCAGAGUUUAUUAAAGGUUUUAGUAAUACUAUAGUCAUUUUCCCCGAUUAUGGGCCUUAUAACAAAGCCUUUAAGUUAAAUAUAGUCAUUUAAUAAGCUGCAAUGCUGAAAAACCUUACUUGGCAAAGUCCAUGAAAAGGUCUUAAACCUAAUUAAGCACUGUAUCAUCAAGUCCCAUUCAGAUUUCAGAACAGGCCAAUAAAUAAAUCAGGGCGAACUUCUACA